rnacentral:lncRNA from 1 species
CGUCCAACAAAUCUCACAUGUCUGAUCCCAUUUGUGGUCAGAUUCUUGGGGGACCAAUAGUGGUCAGAGAAGGCAGAAGAGAGCAGGCCUGCAUCUCUCAUGGUUCUUCCAGCCUCAGGAUCCCUCUUUAAUUUCCUUCAGGGGCAUUUCCCCUCAAUAACCUGACAUCUAAUUCCAUGUUGGCACCUGCUCCUCAGAGGGCCCAUUCUAAUCCAGUUAUGACCCAGAAACAAGAUGAAAUGGAAAAUUCUCCAGGCGAUUACAACACAAGUGCUCAACCUGAGGGUUUGAGCAUUGUUCUGCAAGCUCAUGAGGCAGAAGCUUACUUCCCAUUAAAAAGUCUGAUCCAACUGGCUCUUAAGUCUUAGACCUGGAGAACAGGAAAAUCACUGGGCACACUUUACACAUCCUGCACAACCAACAUUUUGUACUGAGAGAGAUCCAAGAAAGUAGACACUAAGAUAAGAUCUUCGAGUUGCAGCACUUCUGUCUAUCUGGUAAUGAAGACCCCAUCCCUCAUGGUAGAUAAAGAACAGACAACCUCUGGUAGCAGUCUGAUCAUUAAAACUUACUGAUGGUGUAUUGGGAUGAUAUAUUGGUAAAAAGAAAUGUGCUAAGUGGCAUGACACACUAGGCAUUUGUGAAAUUUGUUCUAUUAACAUGUGUUCUGUAUGAUCCUAGGAGUAAAAGGC